rnacentral:rRNA from 1 species
AGUGAACGCUGGCGGUAGGCCUAACACAUGCAAGUCGAACGGCAGCACAGUAAGAGCUUGCUCUUACGGGUGGCGAGUGGCGGACGGGUGAGGAAUACAUCGGAAUCUACUUUUUCGUGGGGGAUAACGUAGGGAAACUUACGCUAAUACCGCAUACGACCUACGGGUGAAAGCAGGGGAUCUUCGGACCUUGCGCGAUUGAAUGAGCCGAUGUCGGAUUAGCUAGUUGGCGGGGUAAAGGCCCACCAAGGCGACGAUCCGUAGCUGGUCUGAGAGGAUGAUCAGCCACACUGGAACUGAGACACGGUCCAGGCUCCUACGGGAGGCAGCAGUGGGGAAUAUUGGACAAUGGGCGCAAGCCUGAUCCAGCCAUACCGCGUGGGUGAAGAAGGCCUUCGGGUUGUAAAGCCCUUUUGUUGGGAAAGAAAAGCAGCAGGUUAAUACCCCGCUGUUCUGACGGUACCCAAAGAAUAAGCACCGGCUAACGUCGUG